GACAGAGGGGGCAAGCGUUGCUCGGAAUUACUGGGCGUAAAGGGCGCGUAGGCGGGAUGGCAAGUCGGUCGUGAAAUCCCUGGGCUCAACUCAGGGGGGUCGGCCGAUACUGCCGUUCUUGAGGGAUGCAGAGGAGACUGGAAUUCCCGGUGUAGCGGUGAAAUGUGUAGAGAUCGGGAGGAACACCGGUGGCGAAGGCGGGUCUCUGGGCAUUCCCUGACGCUGAGGCGCGAAAGCGUGGGGAGCAAACGG
rnacentral:rRNA from 1 species